GGAACAGGAGUGCUGAGCCCAAUUUCACUUAAGAAGCUAGCUACGCUGUUACAGGGGGGAAAGCUGGGAUGAACUCUUUCAACAAUGCCAAAUGGUUCAUUCUGAUAAGAACAAACAAACAGCAAGCAGUUUGCUUGCUCAGAAAUCCCAAAGUCUGCCACUCCAGCAACACUGUGCCCAAGAAACCUUGCCCCCCUGCUUCCUCUGAAGAUCACACUCAACUCCUUCUCUUGGCCUCCUUUCUCCAACACGUAUAGGCCAAUGGGAGCUGGGGGGGCGGUGCCUGAGGAUGGGGCAGCGCACAGAGCCACCUGGCAACGCCUCCACGGAGGAGCCAGAGGGAGGACAUGCUGCUGCUUCUGGGAGCAGCUUAAGACUCAAGACCUGGAUCACAGUACUUCACUGCUUCUCAUUCAGAAGCACCUCUCCACAAUCCGGAGGGAAUAUAAGUUACAUUUAGCAGAAAAUACUGAAAUCCACAGAAAGACUAUGUAAAUCCAUGGCGAAGGGCAGAAUUUUUCUGCGAUCUGUAUUUCUAGUAGGUAAAAUCAUAGCUCACUUCUCCAAGUUAUUAUUCACCCUGGAUUUAAUUUAAUCUUGCUCACAGCAGGAGUGGCAUUUGCAUUAUAAUAUUCCCAAAACCACUUUUUUUGCUUAUUACAUUUCUAAAAAACAGGAUUUCUCCUCAUGUAAGCAAUU